GUUGCGGUGGCCGAGUGGUUAAGGCGUUGGACUAGAAAUCCAAUGGGAUCUUCCCGCGCAGGCCCGAAUCCUGCCCGCAUUG
rnacentral:tRNA from 1 species